ensembl:lncRNA
CCACAGGUUCAGGGUAGCGUUUUGAACACAUGCUUCGCGUUGUGCCGGCGAAAUGCACAUUUCUUGUCGCGUUGUGCCGGCGAAAUGCACACUUCUUGGACCCCUGCAUAACUGCUUGCAGUUCUAGUUAUUGGGGGUCCAAGCCAACAGGUUGGAUCCCUAUUGUUGUAUUGUUGUAAGGAUUUUUAGGGGUCCAAGCCAACAGGUUGGAUCCCUAUUGUUUUUGUAAGGAUUUUUCUUAUUAUUAUUCUUACCUGCCUAAAAGUGUGCCCACAGCCCAAACCGUAAAUGGUGACGACACGCCAAUUGCAUGACUAGAUCCAGAUCUCUUCGGACUACGCAGACGACAAAAUCCAGACACGCCGGCCACUAGGUGGCGCUAUACCAAGGGAAAACGCGUUUGGGGCUAUAACUCCCACACCGAACCUCCCACAGUCAAAACCUUGUACACACAUAUUCACUGGAGUCUGCUGCAUCUUUUGGCAUAGGCCACACCGAACCUCCCACAUUCAAAACCUUGUACACACAUAUUCACUGGAGUCUGCUGCAUCUUUUGGCCUAGGCCACGCCCAUUUGCGUCUAGGAAUAUUUUUCGCAAAAUCGCGAAAACCGCAAAACUGUUUUUUCGCUACUCCUCCCACAUUUCUUGACCAAUCGACACCAAACUUUGCACACGACAUCUUCAGACACACACGCAAAGAAUGCAUGAAAACACUUUUUGGAUCCGACCUUCGACGACGAAACGGUAGCGUUUUUAAUAUUGGUUUAUUAGCUAAAUUAGACGUGGAAUAUCAAAAAUCCAAAGAAAUCCAAAAUUAGACAUCGGAUCGAGUCCAAAUUUUACACACAUGUUGGUGUUAACCUUAACGUCGUUCGAUAAAAAAUUCGGAAAAAUUUGCCAUUAGGGGGCGCAAUAAACGAGGAAAUUGUAUAUCGUCUGCAAAAUUUCGCCGCGAAAACGCUACACUGACUUCUCGCUACUCCUACCACAGUCAAAUCCUUUGUAUCCACAGGUUCAGGGUAGCGUUUUGAACACAUGCUUCGCGUUGUGCCGGCGAAACGCACAUUUCUUGUCGCGUUGUGCCGGCGAAAUGCACACUUCUUGGACCCCUUCAUAACUGCUUGCAGUUCUAGUUAGGGGUCCAAGCCAACAGGUUGGAUCCCUAUUGUUUUUGUAGUGUUUAUUAUUAUUCCCCCCUAGAAGUGGGUCCACAGCCCAAACCGUAAAUGGUGCCGACACGCCAAUUGCAUGACUAGAUCCAGGUCCCUGAGUUCUAAGCAGACGACCAAAUCCAGACACGCCGGCCACUAGGUGGCGCUAUACCAAGGAAUACGCGUUUGGGGCUUUAACUCCCACACCGAACCUCCCACAGUCAAAAACUUGUACACACAGAUGCACUGGAGUCUGCUGCAUCUUUUGGCCUAGGCCCCGCCCAUUUGCGUCCAUAAUUUUUUUUAGCAAAAUCGCGAAAACCGCAAAACAGUUUUUUCGCUACUCCUCCCACAUUUCUUGACCAAUCGACACCAAACUUUGCACACGACAUCUUCAGACGCACACGCAAAGAAUGCAUGAAACACUUUUUUGAUGCGACCUUUGACGACGAAACGGUAGCGUUUUGAAUAUUGGUUCAUGAGCUAAAUUAGACGUGGAAAAUCAAAAAUCCAAAGAAAUCCAAAAUUAGACAUCGGAACGAGUCCAAAUUCUACAUACAUGUUGGUGCUAACCUUAAUGUCGUACGAUAAAAAAUUCGGAAAAUUUUGCCAUUAGGGGGCGCCAUAAACGAGGAAAUUGUAUAUCUUCUACAAAAUUUAGCCGCGAAAACGCUACACUGACUUCUCGCUACUCCUACCACAGUCAAAUCCUUUGUAUCCACAGGUUCAGGGUAGCGUUUUGAACACAUGCUUCGCGUUGUGCCGGCGAAACGCACAUUUCUUGUCGCGUUGUGCCGGCGAAAUGCACACUUCUUGGAACCCUGCAUAACUGCUUGCAGUUCUAGUUAGGGGUCCAAGCCAACAGGUUGGAUCCCUAUUGUUUUUGUAAGGAUUUUUAUUAUUUUUAUUAGGGGUCCAAGCCAACAGGUUGGAUCCCUAUUGUUUUUGUAAGGAUUUUUUAUUAGGGGUCCAAGCCAACAGGUUGGAUCCCUAUUGUUUUUGUAAGGAUUUUUUAUUAGGGGUCCAAGCCAACAGGUUGGAUCCCUAUUGUUUUUGUAAGGAUUAUUAGGGGUCCAAGCCAACGGGUUGGAUCCCUAUUGUUUUUGUAGUGUUUGUUAUUAUUCCCCCGUAGAAGUGGGACCACAGCCCAAACCGUAAAUGGUGCACACACGCCAAUUGCAUGACUAGAUCCAGGUACGUGAGAUGACGGCAGACGACCAAAUCCAGACAUGCCGGCCACUAGGUGGCGCUAUACCAAGGAAAACGCGUUUGGGGCUAUAACUCCCACACCGAACCUCCCACAUACAAAACCUUAUACACACAGAUUCACUGGAGUCUGCUGCAUCUUUUGGCAUAGGCCACGCCCAUUUGCGUCUAUAAUUUUUUUUCGCAAAAUCGCGAAAACCGCAAAACUGUUUUUUCCCUACUCCUUCCACAUUUCUUGACCAAUCAACACCAAACUUUGCACACGACAUCGUCAGACGCACACGCAAAGAAUGCAUGAGACACUUUUUUGAUGCGACCUUUGACGACAAAACGGUAGCGUUUUGAAUAUUGGUUUAUUAGCUAAAUUAGACGUGGAAUAUCAAAAAUCCAAAGAAAUCCAAAAUUAGACAUCGGAUCGAGUCCAAAUUUUACACACAUGUUGGUGUUAACUUUAUCGUCGUUCGAUAAAAAAUUCGGAAAAAUUCGCCAUUAGGGGGCGCCAUAAACGAGGAAAUUGUAUAUCUUCUACAAAAUUUUAGGCCACGCCCAUUUGCGUCUAUAAUUUUUUUUCGCAAAAUCGCGAAAACCGCAAAACUGUUUUUUCCCUACUCCUUCCACAUUUCUUGACCAAUCAACACCAAACUUUGCACACGACAUCGUCAGACGCACACGCAAAGAAUGCAUGAGACACUUUUUUGAUGCGACCUUUGACGACAAAACGGUAGCGUUUUGAAUAUUGGUUUAUUAGCUAAAUUAGACGUGGAAUAUCAAAAAUACAAAGAAAUCCAAAAUUAGACAUCGGAUCGAGUCCAAAUUUUACACACAUGUUGGUGUUAACUUUAUCGUCGUUCGAUAAAAAAUUCGGAAAAAUUCGCCAUUAGGGGGCGCCAUAAACGAGGAAAUUGUAUAUCUUCUACAAAAUUUCGCCGCGAAAACACUACACUGACUUCUCGCUACUCAUACCACAGUCAAAUCCUUUGUAUCCACAGGUUCAGGGUAGCGUUUUGAACACAUGCUUCGCGUUGUGCCGGCGAAACGCACAUUUCUUGUCGCGUUGUGCCGGCGAAUGCACACUUCUUGGACCCCUGCAUAACUGCUUGCAGUUCUAGUUGUUAUACUUACCUCACUAGAAGUGGUACCACAGCCCAAACCGUAAAUGGUGCCGACACGCCAAUUGCAUGACUAGAUCCAGAUCUCUUCGGACAAUGCAGACGACCAAAUCCAGACCCGCCGGCCCCUAGGUGGCGCUAUACCAAGGAAUACGCAUUUGGGGCUAUAACUCCCACACCGAACCUCCCACAUUCAAAACCUUGUACACACAGAUUCACUGGAGUCUGCUGCAUCUUUUGGCAUAGGCCACGCCCAUUUGCGUCUAGAAUUUUUUUUCGCAAAAUCGCGAAAACCGCAAAACUGUUUUUUCGCUACUCCUCCCACAUUUCUCGACCAAUCAACACCAAACUUUGCACACGGCAUCUUCAGACGCACACGCAAAGAAACCCUCAGACAGUUUUUUGAUCCGACUUUCGACGACGAAACGGUAGCGUUUUGAACAUUGGUUUAUUAGCUACGUUUUACGUCGAAACGCAAAAAUUCAAAAAAUACCAAAAUUAGACAUCGGAUCAAGCCCACAUUUUAGACACAUGUCGGUGUUACCCUUAAUGGCGUUCAAUAAAAAUAACGGAAUUUUUCGCAAUUAGGGGGCGCUAUAAACGAGGAAAUUGUAUAUCUUCUAAUUGGCCCAAGGAAUGUUCUUCAGACUAUAAGGGAACCAUCAAGGGGCAAACCCGAGACUAUAUAGAAAAUAUGGCCAAGAAUUAUUAAUGUGGGCGGGAGUUAUUUGGCAAAGGAAAAUUGUCUUUGGAAAAUGUCGCCACAGGGCGGCGCCAAAAAACGACGACAUUGUCUAUCUCCUAUUUGGCCAAUGUUCUGAAAACGCGUUUUAGGCUAUAACUCCCACACCGAAGCUCCCACAGUCAAAACCUUUAUAUCCACAUGUUGUUCACGGUAGCGUUUUCAAUACUUGCUUCGCGUUGUGCCGGUGAAAUGCACAUUUCUUGUCGCGUUGUGCCGGCGAAAUGCACACUUCUUGGACCCCUGCAUAACUGCUUGCAGUUCUAGUUAGGGGUCCAAGCCAACAGGUUGGAUCCCUAUUGUUUUUGUAAGGAUUUUUAUUAUUAUUAGGGGUCCAAGCCAACAGGUUGGAUCCCUAUUGUUUUUGUAAGGAUUAUUAUUAUUAUACUAUACGCCUUAGAAGUGGUACCACAGCCCAAACCGUAAAUGGUGCCGACACGGCAAUUGCAUCACUAGAUCCAGGUCGGGCACCGCUACUCAGAUAACCAAAUCCAGACACGCCGGCCACUAGGUGGCGCUAUACCAAGGACAGACGCGUUUGGGGCUAUAACUCCCACACCGAAUCUCCCACAUUCAAAAACUUGUACGCACAGAUUCACUGGAGUCUGCUGCAUCUUUUGGCAUAGGCCACGCCCAUUUGCGUCUAGGAAUAUUUUUCGCUAAAUCGCGAAAACCGCAAAACUGUUUUUUCGCUACUCCUCCCACAUUUCUCGACCAAUUGACACAAAACUUUGCACACGACAUCUUCAGACCUACACGAAAAGAAUUCCUGCAUUACUUUUUUGAUCCGACCUUCGACGACGUAACGGUAGCGUUUUGAAUAUUGGUUUAUUAGCUAAAUUAGACGUGGAAAAUCCAAAAUCCCCAAAAAUUCAAAAUUACACAUCGGAUCGACUCCAAGUUUUACACACAUGUUGGUGCUAACCUUAAUGUCGUACGAUAAAAAAUUCGGAAAAUUUCGCCAUUAG